UACAGAGGGUGCAAGCGUUGUUCGGAAUCAUUGGGCGUAAAGAGCGUGUAGGCGGCUUGGUAAGUCCGCUGUGAAAGUCCAGGGCUCAACCCUGGAAUGCCGGUGGAAACUGUCAAGCUUGAGUCCGGAAGAGGCGAGUGGAAUUCCUGGUGUAGCGGUGAAAUGCGCAGGAUAUCAGGAGGAACACCAAUGGCGAAGGCAGCUCGCUGGGACGGUACUGACGCUGAGACGGCGAAAGCGUGGGGAGCAAAC
rnacentral:rRNA from 1 species